GCCAAUCAAACGUGGAAAUAGCUCGUACUCCCUGAAAUAUAUUUAGGUAUAGCGUCUGGUUUUGUCUCUCCGGAGGUAGAGCACUGAUUAGGCUAGGGCCCUUCACCGGGUACCAACCCUAGACAAACUCCAAAUACCGGAGCAGAGCCACCAGGCAGUCAGUGGCAGGGUGAUAACGUCCUGUCGCGAGAGGGAAACAACCCAGACCGCCAGUUAAGGUCCCCAAGUCAUGGCUGAGUGGUGAAGGAUGUGGAGACGCUAAGACAGCUAGGAGGUUGGCUUAGAAGCAGCCAUUCCUUUAAAGAGUGCGUAAUAGCUCACUAGUUAAGCGGCCCGGCGUCGAUAAUACACGGGCAUUAAACACACUGCCGAAGCUGUGGUUCCCCCGAGCAAUCGGGGGGAGGUAAGGGAGCAUUCCAGGGGCGCAGAAGCGGAGUUGUGAGACUCUGUGGAGCCCCUGGAAGCGAAACUGUAGGCAUGAGUAACGAUAAGACGGGCGAGAAACCCGUCCACCGUAAACCCAAGGGUUCCUGAUCAACGCUAAUCGGAUCAGGGUUAGUCGAGACCUAAGGUGUAGCCGAAAGGCGAAGCCGAUGGCAAAC
rnacentral:rRNA from 1 species